rnacentral:rRNA from 1 species
GACGAACGCUGGCGGCGUGCUUAAAAACAUGCAAGUCGAACGGACUUCUCAUGAAGCUUGCGAUUGAGAAGUUAGUGGCGGACGGGUGAGUAACGCGUGGGCAACCUGCCCCUGAGCCCGGGAUAACAGUUCGAAAGGACUGCUAAGACCGGAUAUACUUGCGGUGAAGCAUUUCACUGCAAGGAAAGGGAACGCUCAGGGAUGGGCCCGCGUCCCAUUAGCUAGUUGGUGAGGUAACGGCCCACCAAGGCGACGAUGGGUAGCCGGCCUGAGAGGGUGAACGGCCACACUGGGACUGAGACACGGCCCAGACUCCUACGGGAGGCAGCAGUUGGGAAUCUUCGGCAAUGGGCGCAAGCCUGACCGAGCAACGCCGCGUGAGUGAUGAAGGUUUUCGGAUUGUAAAGCUCUGUCUUCCGGGACGAUAAUGACGGUACCGGAGGGGGAGCCACGGCUAACUACGUGCCAGCAGCCCGCGGUAAACAUACCUCGUA